AAGCAUUUAUGUAAUGCUUGAGGUUUUCUGGGUGUAUUAACAAUAAUGAUAUUGUGUUUCCAGAAUGAACCUGUGGAAACCCUGGAUGCCCUGCAUGUGCUCAACAAACCCAAAAUUUUCAGAACGUGUGGGACUUUUACUGUGUGUGAAGACCAACUAUCAAGUACUUGUUCAGGCAUCUGUGAUAUGGGUCUCACUGCAUCUGCCAGAGGUCCAGAAACCCAAACAAACAUAGGAAGUCCUGAAAAUGUCCUGAAAUAUCCUAAAAAUAGGAAGAAUUUCCAGACAGAAGAAGAGCAGAGAUUCAGGAAAACACGUGAGCGUUUUUAUUGUAAAACCUGUCAUCAGCAUGGACAACGUAUUCAUCAGUGAACAUUUAUUGACAGGAAAACAAUAGAAGGAACUGAACACUUUCCAAAAACAAUAAGUGGGCUAUACAGAAGAAAGAGCCUAGAGUUGACCUAAGGCUGUUCCUGGUGAAGUCAGUGGUGAAGCUCCUACCAACGUUUCAUUAGAAAAUGCUUCUAGUGUCAUGGAGGCUUUUUGAAAACUCUGCUUGCAAGACAAACCAAGAGCAAACAAUACAAAAUGGAUCCUGAAGAUGAAUUAGUUUGUCACCUUUUCUGGGACAGAAAUGAUAGGACACGUAUGCAGGGUCUUCACUCAGAUUUUCAGAGUCUUUCAGAGUUUUCUGAUGUUUUCUGAUCAAUGGAACCCGACAAUUUUUUUAACGUAGAUAAAACAUAGCAUAUAUGUACUGUCAGCUGUGCUUCCCAGUCACUUUUCCCAGAUCCCUUGUAAGCACUUCACACGCUGUUACUGGCCUUAGACCAGAGAAUGACCAGCACUAAUACAGAGACUCUCUUAGAUGGCUUUUGCCCUUAGGCAGAGUAAAUCCACAGUGAAAGUAAGUGAUAUCCACUGCCCCAGACAAGUGAGAAGUUAAACAGGCAAGACAUAGGAAACAGGUACAA